CCUACGGGAGGCAGCAGUGGGGAAUUUUGGACAAUGGGCGCAAGCCUGAUCCAGCAAUGCCGCGUGAGUGAAGAAGGCCUUCGGGUUGUAAAGCUCUUUUGUCAGGGAAGAAACGGCUGAGGAUAAUACCUUUGGCUAAUGACGGUACCUGAAGAAUAAGCACCGGCUAACUACGUGCCAGCAGCCGCGGUAAUACGUAGGGUGCAAGCGUUAAUCGGAAUUACUGGGCGUAAAGCGUGCGCAGGCGGUUUUGUAAGUCUGUCGUGAAAUCCCCGGGCUCAACCUGGGAAUUGCGAUGGAGACUGCAAGGCUGGAGUCUGGCAGAGGGGGGUAGAAUUCCACGUGUAGCAGUGAAAUGCGUAGAGAUGUGGAGGAACACCGAUGGCGAAGGCAGCCCCCUGGGUCAAGACUGACGCUCAUGCACGAAAGCGUGGGGAGCAAACAGGAUUAGAUACCCUGGUAGUCCACGCCCUAAACGAUGUCUACUAGUUGUCGGGUCUUAAUUGACUUGGUAACGCAGCUAACGCGUGAAGUAGACCGCCUGGGGAAGUACGGUCGCAAGUAUUAAAACCGUUAAAGGAAUUGACGGCUGGAGACGNGCGAGACGACGACGAGGAGGAGG
rnacentral:rRNA from 1 species